CGGCGGACGGGUGAGUAACACGUGGAUAACCUACCUAUAAGACUGGGAUAACUUCGGGAAACCGGAGCUAAUACCGGAUAAUAUAUUGAACCGCAUGGUUCAAUAAUGAAAGACGGUUUUGCUGUCACUUAUAGAUGGAUCCGCGCCGCAUUAGCUAGUUGGUAAGGUAACGGCUUACCAAGGCAACGAUGCGUAGCCGACCUGAGAGGGUGAUCGGCCACACUGGAACUGAGACACGGUCCAG
rnacentral:rRNA from 1 species